GUGACCCAGUUUCGAACUUGACCUAGAUAUCAUCAAGAUGAACAUUCUGACCAACUUUCAUAAAGAUCCCAUGAAAAAUGUGACCUCUAGAGUGGUCACAAGCAAAAGUUUACGGACGCACGCACGGACGGACGACGGACGACGGACACCGCGCGAUCACAAAAGCUCACCUUGUCACUUUGUGACAGGUGAGCUAAAAAG